rnacentral:rRNA from 1 species
CCUACGGGGUGCAGCAGUGAGGAAUAUUGGUCAAUGGGCGGGAGCCUGAACCAGCCAAGUCGCGUGAGGGAAGACGGUCCUACGGAUUGUAAACCUCUUUUGCCGGGGAGCAACGGGGUCCUUGCGAGGGCCCGAUGAGAGUACCCGGAGAAAAAGCAUCGGCUAACUCCGUGCCAGCAGCCGCGGUAAUACGGGGGAUGCGAGAGUUAUUGGGAUUUAUUGGGUUUAAAGGGGGCGUAGGCGGGCAGGUAAGUCCACGGUCAAAUGGCGGGGCUCAACCCCGGCCUGCCGUUGAAACUGGCGGCCUCGAGUGGGCGAGAGGUAUGCGGAAUGCGUGGUGUAGCGGUGAAAUGCAUAGAUAUCACGCAGAACUCCGAUUGCGAAGGCAGCAUACCGGCGCCCGACUGACGCUGAGGCACGAAAGCGUGGGUAUCGAACAGGAUUAGAUACCCGUGUAGUC